CCCCCCGAUUACCCCGUCGCCUCCUUCGACAUUCCUGCCGGAAACCCUCGCCCCAAACCAGAAAUGGAAACCAAGGCAAUUGCUUCACCCAAAUACCAAAUCAAAGCUACGGAUGCUACAACUUUGAGCACAAUUCAUGCAAUUUCUUUCAUUUCCACAUGUUCAAGCAACUAAGAACAGGAAUCGAAGCCCUCUACAACAAACAGUUCGAGCCAUAUUUUGGGUCUUCAGUGGAAGCUUAUAGAAGAUCCUACUCUAUCAGAUAUAUUGACAGAAAAUUUAGCUCAAAAAACGCACAAGGAUUCCAAAACUCCAAUCGGAAAAUAAGCAAUGGAAGAAAGCUAAGUACAUUACUGCACAAUUUCAUAAUUAUUUAGCUAAUUAAUGAAAUCUGUGCCUUUACAAAUUAGUCUGUAAUAUUUAGUUUUUGGGCAUCUACUAAUUUAAAUGUCAUGGAUGUAUAUUUCUUUGCCUGAGAAUCUAUUUGACUGUAUUAAUAAACCUAAAUAUUGAAUGGUAAAAAACUUUUCCAUA